rnacentral:rRNA from 1 species
GUCUAUGGCCAUACCACCCUGAAUGUGCCCAAUCUUGUCUGAUCUCAGAAGCUAAGCAGCUUGGGGCCUGGUUAGAACUUGGAUGGCAGAAAUGGUAACAGUGGGAAACCAGAGGGA